UUGUGGUUUUCUUGCGCUCGUGCGUCCGUCUGUGUGCUGUUGGGAAGAUGCACUAUUAUUUUUGAAUUAGUCAGAUGCGAACACAAUGAGUCGCAGGCUUCUGGCUGUUAUUGUUAUUGUGCACGUGUGUUUGCUUCGGGUCGACUGACUGCUGGCGCUCUGUCUUCACACAUUCAGUGUGUUUUGGCUUCAUUCGUCUCUCUCUCUCUCUCUGUGUUUCUUCACAGGAUCCGAGAUGUCGCUCGCCCCUUAAAUCACUUUCUGCACCACCGAAAGUGACUGCUGUCCUCAGCCCAUCUGUUUGCCUGCUCUUCACCUUCAGCCUCGGCCUGGAUCUGCAGCCAAUCAGACGCCAGCGCUGUUCAUUAAAGCAACAGUUCACCCUAAAAUCAGCACCGUUUACUCUCACUCGUGUCCUUCAGACCUGAGCUUGUUCUCUGGAGCUCAAAAGAAGAUAUUGCUUAUAUCAGACCCCAGUG
rnacentral:lncRNA from 1 species